ACAAUGAAGAGUUUGAUCCUGGCUCAGGAUGAACGCUAGCUACAGGCUUAACACAUGCAAGUCGAGGGGCAUCAGGAAGAAAGCUUGCUUUCUUUGCUGGCGACCGGCGCACGGGUGAGUAACACGUAUCCAACCUGCCCUUUACUCGGGGAUAGCCUUUCGAAAGAAAGAUUAAUACCCGAUGGCAUAAUGAUUCCGCAUGGUUUCAUUAUUAAAGGAUUCCGGUAAAGGAUGGGGAUGCGUUCCAUUAGGUUGUUGGUGAGGUAACGGCUCACCAAGCCUUCGAUGGAUAGGGGUUCUGAGAGGAAGGUCCCCCACAUUGGAACUGAGACACGGUCCAAACUCCUACGGGAGGCAGCAGUGAGGAAUAUUGGUCAAUGGGCGCUAGCCUGAACCAGCCAAGUAGCGUGAAGGAUGAAGGCUCUAUGGGUCGUAAACUUCUUUUAUAUAAGAAUAAAGUGCAGUAUGUAUACUGUUUUGUAUGUAUUAUAUGAAUAAGGAUCGGCUAACUCCGUGCCAGCAGCCGCGGUAAUACGGAGGAUCCGAGCGUUAUCCGGAUUUAUUGGGUUUAAAGGGAGCGUAGGUGGACUGGUAAGUCAGUUGUGAAAGUUUGCGGCUCAACCGUAAAAUUGCAGUUGAUACUGUCAGUCUUGAGUACAGUAGAGGUGGGCGGAAUUCGUGGUGUAGCGGUGAAAUGCUUAGAUAUCACGAAGAACUCCGAUUGCGAAGGCAGCUCACUGGACUGCAACUGACACUGAUGCUCGAAAGUGUGGGUAUCAAACAGGAUUAGAUACCCUGGUAGUCCACACAGUAAACGAUGAAUACUCGCUGUUUGCGAUAUACAGUAAGCGGCCAAGCGAAAGCAUUAAGUAUUCCACCUGGGGAGUACGCCGGCAACGGUGAAACUCAAAGGAAUUGACGGGGGCCCGCACAAGCGGAGGAACAUGUGGUUUAAUUCGAUGAUACGCGAGGAACCUUACCCGGGCUUAAAUUGCAGUGGAAUGAUGUGGAAACAUGUCAGUGAGCAAUCACCGCUGUGAAGGUGCUGCAUGGUUGUCGUCAGCUCGUGCCGUGAGGUGUCGGCUUAAGUGCCAUAACGAGCGCAACCCUUAUCUUCAGUUACUAACAGGUCAUGCUGAGGACUCUGGAGAGACUGCCGUCGUAAGAUGUGAGGAAGGUGGGGAUGACGUCAAAUCAGCACGGCCCUUACGUCCGGGGCUACACACGUGUUACAAUGGGGGGUACAGAAGGCAGCUAGCGGGUGACCGUAUGCUAAUCCCAAAAUCCUCUCUCAGUUCGGAUCGAAGUCUGCAACCCGACUUCGUGAAGCUGGAUUCGCUAGUAAUCGCGCAUCAGCCACGGCGCGGUGAAUACGUUCCCGGGCCUUGUACACACCGCCCGUCAAGCCAUGGGAGCCGGGGGUACCUGAAGUACGUAACCGCAAGGAUCGUCCUAGGGUAAAACUGGUGACUGGGGCUAAGUCGUAACAAGGUAGCCGUACCGGAAGGUGCGGCUGGAACACCUCCUUU
rnacentral:rRNA from 2 species